ACAAUGGGGGCCCAAGGUGAGAUGAAGCUGUAAUCUCACUGGAAGGACUAGAGGUUAGAGGAGACCCCCCCGAAAUAAAAAACAGCAUAUUGACGCUGGGAAAGACCAGAGAUCCUGCUGUCUCCUCAGCAUCAUUCCAGGCACAGAACGCCAGAAAAUGGAAUGGUGCUGUUG
rnacentral:lncRNA from 1 species